rnacentral:rRNA from 1 species
UACGUAGGGUGCGAGCGUUGUCCGGAAUUAUUGGGCGUAAAGAGCUCGUAGGCGGUUUGUCGCGUCGACUGUGAAAACCUACAGCUUAACUGUGGGCUUGCAGUCGAUACGGGCAGACUUGAGUUCGGUAGGGGAGACUGGAAUUCCUGGUGUAGCGGUGAAAUGCGCAGAUAUCAGGAGGAACACCGAUGGCGAAGGCAGGUCUCUGGGCCGGUACUGACGCUGAGACGCGAAAGCGUGGGAGCAAACAGG